rnacentral:rRNA from 1 species
GAUGAACGCUGGCGGCGUGCCUAAUACAUGCAAGUCGAGCGAACGGACGAGAAGCUUGCUUUUCUGAUGUUAGCGGCGGACGGGUGAGUAACACGUGGAUAACCUACCUAUAAGACUGGGAUAACUUCGGGAAACCGGAGCUAAUACCGGAUAAUAUUUUGAACCGCAUGGUUCAAAAGUGAAAGACGGUCUUGCUGUCACUUAUAGAUGGAUCCGCGCUGCAUUAGCUAGUUGGUAAGGUAACGGCUUACCAAGGCAACGAUGCAUAGCCGACCUGAGAGGGUGAUCGGCCAAACUGGAAAUGAGACAAGGUCCAGAAUCCUAAGGGAGGCAGCAGGAGGGAAUCUUCCGCAAAGGGCGAAAGCCUGACGGAGCAACGCCGCGUGAGUGAUGAAGGUCUUCGGAUCGUAAAACUCUGUUAUUAGGGAAGAACAUAUGUGUAAGUAACUGUGCACAUCUUGACGGUACCUAAUCAGAAAGCCACGACUAACUACGUG